rnacentral:rRNA from 1 species
GUCCAGACUCCUACGGGAGGCAGCAGUGGGGAAUAUUGGGCAAUGGACGCAAGUCUGACCCAGCAACGCCGCGUGAAGGAAGAAGGCUUUCGGGUUGUAAACUUCUUUUAAGGGGGAAGAGCAGAAGACGGUACCCCUUGAAUAAGCCACGGCUAACUACGUGCCAGCAGCCGCGGUAAUACGUAGGUGGCAAGCGUUGUCCGGAUUUACUGGGUGUAAAGGGCGUGUAGCCGGGCCGGCAAGUCAGAUGUGAAAUCCCAAGGCUCAACCUUGGAACUGCAUUUGAAACUGUUGUUCUUGAGUACUGGAGAGGCAGACGGAAUUCCUAGUGUAGCGGUGAAAUGCGUAGAUAUUAGGAGGAACACCAGUGGCGAAGGCGGUCUGCUGGACAGCAACUGACGCUGAGGCGCGAAAGCGUGGGGAGCAAACAGGAUUAGAUACCCGUGUA